CCCCUUUUGAAUAUUGAUAGUACGGUCUUACAGGUCUAUAUUUCCUCGGCACUACAUUACAGUGUACCCAUAACUAUUUCAUGGUCGCUCUAUCUGGUGUAGGAAUGUCGGUGAACUGAUUAGGUAACGUCUUUAUUAUAAGUUAUAUAUAAUCUUGUUUUCUCUGCCUGGAAAUAGCACAAGCUGUUCGGUGCUAGUUUUUGGUAAUUAUAUAUCGAUAAGCGAUUGUUAAUCGCUAUCGCAGAGACAGGAAUUAGUGUCUUAAUGGAGCAUGGAUCGCCAUGUAAAAAUCGUCUAGUUCAUUUCUACAUUGCUGCGAAUGGAUUUUACUUUUGAUUUUUUUCAUUUUUGUCCAGUCGGUCACUAAUUAUCAGCUGGGUGGUCUGUACAAGCUUACUGUGAAGUGAUGUUUGUUUUGAUUGGUAUUGUAGAAUCUAGUCCGUUUUCUAUGGCUCAUAUAUAGGAAG
rnacentral:lncRNA from 1 species